AUUGAACGCUGGCGGCAUGCCUAACACAUGCAAGUCGAACGGCAGCACAGCAGUAGCAAUACUGUGGGUGGCGAGUGGCGGACGGGUGAGGAAUACGUCGGAAUCUGCCCAGUCGUGGGGAUAACUAGCCGAAAGGUUAGCUAAUACCGCAUACGACCGGGAGGUGAAAGCGGGGGACCGCAAGGCCUCGCGCGAUUGGAUGAGCCGACGUCGGAUUAGCUAGUUGGCGGGGUAAAGGCCCACCAAGGCGACGAUCCGUAGCUGGUCUGAGAGGAUGAUCAGCCACACUGGAACUGAGACACGGUCCAGACUCCUACGGGAGGCAGCAGUGGGGAAUAUUGGACAAUGGGCGCAAGCCUGAUCCAGCAAUGCCGCGUGUGUGAAGAAGGCCUUCGGUUGGUAAAGCACUUUAUUCAGGACGAAAAGACGUUGGAUUAAUACUCUGACGUGCUGACGGUACCGUCGAGGAA
rnacentral:rRNA from 1 species